CAGGCCUAACACAUGCAAGUCGAGCGGGCAUCCUUGUGGUGUCAGCGGCGGACGGGUGAGUAACGCGUGGGAACGUGCCCCCCGGUCUGGGAUAACCCUGGGAAACUAGGGCUAAUACUGGAUACGUGCUUUGGCAGAAAGGUUUACUGCCGGGGGAUCGGCCCGCGUCUGAUUAGCUAGUUGGUGGGGUAACGGCCCACCAAGGCGACGAUCAGUAGCUGGUCUGAGAGGAUGAUCAGCCACACUGGGACUGAGACACGGCCCAGACUCCUACGGGAGGCAGCAGUGGGGAAUAUUGGACAAUGGGCGCAAGCCUGAUCCAGCCAUGCCGCGUGAGUGAUGAAGGCCUUAGGGUUGUAAAGCUCUUUUAUCCGGGACGAUAAUGACGGUACCGGAGGAAUAAGCCCCGGCUAACUUCGUGCCAGCAGCCGCGGUAAU
rnacentral:rRNA from 1 species